ensembl:lncRNA
GGUUGAAAUAACACUCUGAAAUUGUAUAAAAUUACGAUAAUGUCCUUUUGAAAACAAUGCUUGGAAUUUCAGCCUGUUCAGGUGGGAUGGAGUUUUUGACCCACAGCAUGACAUCACAAUCUGAUCUGAUUUUUCUGACCAAUGACCAGUCAUCUUUUAUUUGCAUAUGUCUCCACCUACUUUGAAGGGGUAAGCUGGGUAGGCUCUAGUGCAGGGAUGGGCAACUCCAGUCCCACUGUUUCCCUAGCAAACACAGCUGAUUAAACUGACUGUAUUCUGAACUGAAGAACAUGAUCAUUGCAUUACUGGAGUCAGAUGUCUUAGCUGGGGCUGAAGUGUGACACCAAUCAGGCCCCCGAGGACUGGAGCUGCCCAUCCCUGCUCUAGAGUCUAGACAAUCCUAUCCACCAAUCAGAGCUGUGCAUGUAAAUAUAUUUACAUUUCUAUCAACACACCGACACGAUCAGACAGAGCAUUCCAAUGGCUGAAGGAGGCUCAGGGAAAUAAAUUAUAAAACAUUUAUUUGAAGUUAUUUUCAUGAAGUAAACACAGUGAUUUAUUAGACAUCCAGUGAUGAUUUACAAAUAAAAAAAUAAAUAGACUGCGUGGAGGCGUUAAAUGUUUGAUCUGCAAGAUAGAGGCAAUAUGGUGGAAGCUUUACCACUACCAUAGAGAAUGAUAGAGGCAAUAUAGUGGAAGAUUUACCACUACCAUAGAGAAUGAUAGAGGCCUCUAGUGGCCAAAAGGUUGUAUUAGCACGGGGCAGCACCAUUGAGAGCUUCCACCAUUUUAAUGUAGUCAACUGGCUGGGACUUCCAACUUCAUUGGCUGAUCCCUACUGGUGACCUUGUUGGGAGUCAUGUGCAGCCAAGGGUCAUCAGGAGGUAUCAGCCAAUCGUGAAGAAGAAAAUGGGACUACUUCAAAAUGGCCUCAAUGGCACUGCCCAUGAUGUCACAGACGCCAUAGUGGGACGGAUACAAUGGUACGGCCUCUUUCCAUCUCUAUGACCCCCCCCCCCACUACACACGGAUACAAUGUGAUACAGCCUCUUUCCAUCUCUAUGACCCCCCACUACAAACGGAUACAGCCCUGUCAGACGUGUUAACGUGGAGGGCACCCUGAUACGGCCUCUUUCCAUCUCUAUGACCCCCUACUACACUACACACGGAUACAGCCCUGGUCAGACGUGUUGACGUCGAGGACCCCCCCCUGGCUUCCUCCUGUGUGUAGAACUCAAUGCACUGAUUCAAUGUUUCUGCUGUGAAUAAAAC